UACGAAGGGGGGCUAGCGUUGUUCGGAAUUACUGGGCGUAAAGCGCACGUAGGCGGCGAUUUAAGUCAGAGGUGAAAGCCCGGGGCUCAACCCCGGAAUAGCCUUUGAGACUGGAUUGCUAGAAUCUUGGAGAGGCGAGUGGAAUUCCGAGUGUAGAGGUGAAAUUCGUAGAUAUUCGGAAGAACACCAGUGGCGAAGGCGGCUCACUGGGCUGGUAUUGACGCUGAGGUGCGAAAGGCGUGGGGAGCAAACAGG
rnacentral:rRNA from 1 species